UGAUGACCAUUUGCCGGGUGUGUCCUAGAGAAGGCUGGUCUGACGGCCCUGAAGGGCUCAUACAAUUCUGAUGCCUUUUGGUCUGGUUUCCUCAUUUCUGAAACGACGGGAUUGGACCGGGUCACCUCUAAAUCUAUGAACGUUCCCAUUUAGCAGAGGAACAAACUGAGCCCUGACACAUGCAGUAGUUCAGCCAAAGACGCAUCAUCGGGAAGUGGAGGCGGCUGUCUAGUGCGGUGGGCUGAGCACUACGGAGUCUGGAAGCCCUGAAUGCAAACCUUACCUCGUGCGCUCAUUCGUUGUGUGACUCUUUGCAAGUAGCUUAACCCUUCUUGCCUUCCCUUCCUCAUCUGUAAAAUGGGCAUAAUUAAUAGCACCCGCCUUCCACAGCUGUUGGGAAGGUCAAGCGAGACAAGAGUUGUAAGGUUCUUAACGUAGUGCCCGGGAUAUAGCCGCGUCAUAUCAAUGUUAGCUCUACAUACAUAACACAGACACAUAUAUGUACAUGCGUGAGUAUAUAGAGACACAUACGCACACAUGUGGACGCAUGAACCCCACCUCAGAGCCAGUGGGAGCUGGGAUUGGGCGGGGACAGCGACUGAGCCAAGGCAGACAUUCCGCCUGUUAUUUUUGCUCCAAAACGAACAAAGCAGCAGAAUUUUAGAAUCCUUUGUUAAAAGGAAGUUGGUUCUAAAUGCGGCUCUGCCAUCUGGCCCUUGGCAGGCGGGCCCACGGGCUGUGCAGCCCGACACUCACUUUCCUCUUCUCCGAGCAAGCGUGGAUUCGGUUCCCCAGAAGCCCGUUGGGCGCGAACGGCGCCCGCGGCCACAUCUGGGGCCCCGACUCCGUGGCUGCCGCCUACACGGUCCCUCUCUCGGGCCAGGAGGCCGGAAAGCUCUUGCCCCCCUCGGGGCCGGUCCCGGGCCCUCACGGACCCUCGGACUCCUCCUCCCGGCUGCCUCUCUGUAGGCCGGAGGGGGGUGGGGCAAAGCACUGUCACUGCUCAGAGUCCCAGCUCGGGACCCGGCACUCAGCCGGCCUUUCCAACUUUUGUAGCUGUUCUCCUGUUCACAUCCCGCUGUUUCCCCACUGACCCUCUUGCCCUCCCCCGUGAGCUUCUCUCGUGACUCCAGAGCAUCCCCUCCGUUCCAAAGAGGAUGGGUGGGGGAGGGGAGAGGGGCAGCAGGGUUCCACACCCCGGGGCCUCCACCUUCUCCCUUUUGGAGAAGAGGAAACGGAAACCCAAGUGCCCGAGGCUCCAAGUGCCCGAGGCUGCUGAGCCCGCCAAUAAUCUCCACCGCUCCCAGACCGGGAAGCUGAGGGUGAGAAGCGAUUUGUGCACAAUCUCCCAGCCCAGCCUCGGGCCCCCAGUGCCUGAGAUCCUCGAGGAGCCGACAUCCGCCAAAGGGGAUGGGAUGAUGGACGUGGGCGCCCCCCAGGGGAUCCCGGGGGGAGUGUGAGCCGAGGGCACGGCAGUGGAAGGACACAAUAGCCUCCCCCCGAGCUGUUAGGGAGGCUCUAAGAAGGGAGGAGGUGAGGACUCUAACCGGGAGAACAGAGGUGCGACUGGUGGGUAGAAACCUGGAGCUGGAGUCAGGAAGGCCUGAGUUCACAUCCAGCCUCAGACAGUCACUGACUGUGCGACCUCGAGCACGUGGCGAGUCCCCGGCUGCCUCAGUUUCCUCCUCUGUAAAACGCGGAUGACACCGGCGCUCACUUCAGAGCUCCCUGCCAGGAUCAGACGAGAUAAUGCUUGCCCACCCGGACGCACCCUAUCCGUGCGAGCUACUGCGGCAUUCGCGUGUGACAGAAAACAGGGAUUUCGGCAGCAAGCCUCGGAACCCAAGGGGCAGCGGUGGAUGGAACGCUGGGCCCGGAAUACGGAACACUAGCGUCUCUGCCAAGUGAACCCAUGGACCGUCCUGUCACGGCUGGACCAAAACCCACUAAAAGGAGGCGGGAGAGGGAGGUGGGAGCUAAUAAUGGGUAACGUGCUUUAUUUUACCAUUUAAGCCCAAAGGAGUUUGGGGGCACCCCGAGGUAUCAAGCGCUCCAACCCGCCUUUGCCUAAACCCACCUCGAGCUACUUUUGCUGACGGGAAUAAAACAAUUCACCCAUAAGGUUGGUGGAUGUUUGAGUGAGGAAGCGGGAUUAGGGUUACCUCAGUUCCUCCCACAACAACACCACUGGGAAGGGAAAUAGCAGCAAGGGGGCCGUGCCCUCCUGGGGAGGCUCAAUGCCAGGCUCAGGAGGCCGUGUUUUUAUCCCAGGAAUAUCAAUAUGGCAGCCCUCUGGAGGAUGGCGUAGGAGAGAGUGGAGGCAGAGAAGGAAUAACUAGAGGCUGGACUGGCCGUGGGGUAGCAGCCCGUGUGACCAGGGAGGGGGCGGGGAUGGGUGUGGACGUCCUUGAGAGGGGAGGAAGACUGCCCCUUAGUUUAAGAAAACAGAAAAAGAGGCCCCGGACAUCUUUACUUGGGAAAAUGGCUAGUGUUGAAGCUACUGAAAAGUGGAUUUCCACCUCAAAUCUUGAGGAUGAGGGAGAAACUUUGGGGCUCAUCCCUGUGACCCCAUGGCGGGUUUUCUGGGCAGACACUGGAGUGGUCGCCAUUUCCUUCUCCAGCCUAUUUUGCAGAUGAGGAACGGAUUAAAUUACUUAUCACACGGUUAAUAAAUGUCUGAGGCCAGAUUUGAAGUGAGGGUCCUUCAGGCUCUAGGGUUCUACCCACUGAGCCCCCUCGCUGCCUCCAGUUUUACUUAAUGUUUUUCACAUGCAUCCUGCUCCAAUCAAAAUGGCCCACAGGCCAGCUGCUGCCCAUUCACACAACCCUGCACCCCCUGCCUGGGCACAACCUCCCCCCCAUCCAGCUCUCCUUCUUCAUAUCCGGUACUUUCUCAAAAUUAUUCUGUGUAACCGUGGAUAUUUUGUCUUUACUUACCUUGUACAUGUAUAUCCUCCCCUUCCCUCCCCCACUAGAACGGGAGCUCCCUGAAGGAGGGCCUUUUGUUUUAUCUUCUCAUCCCCAGUGUGAAGCACAUAGUAGGUGUUUAAUAAAUGUUUACUGAAUUU